AGAGUUUGAUCCUGGCUCAGGAUGAACGCUGGCGGCGUGCCUAACACAUGCAAGUCGAACGAAGCAUAUACGGAUGAGGCCUUCGGGUGGAUUCUGUAUAUGACUGAGUGGCGGACGGGUGAGUAACGCGUGGGGAACCUGCCUCUGCCAGGGGGAUAACAGUUAGAAAUGACUGCUAAUACCGCAUAAGCGCACGGGACCGCAUGGUCCUGUGUGAAAAGCCGAGACGGGCAGAGAUGGACCCGCGUCUGAUUAGGUAGUUGGUGAGGUAACGGCCCACCAAGCCGACGAUCAGUAGCCGACCUGAGAGGGUGACCGGCCACAUUGGGACUGAGACACGGCCCAAACUCCUACGGGAGGCAGCAGUGGGGAAUAUUGCACAAUGGGGGAAACCCUGAUGCAGCGACGCCGCGUGAAGGAAGAAGUAUUUCGGUACGUAAACUUCUAUCAGCAGGGAAGAAACUGACGGUACCUGAGUAAGAAGCUCCGGCUAAAUACGUGCCAGCAGCCGCGGUAAUACGUAUGGAGCAAGCGUUAUCCGGAUUUACUGGGUGUAAAGGGAGCGUAGGCGGCGGUGCAAGUCAGAGGUGAAAACCCGUAGCUCAACUACGGGAUUGCCUUUGAAACUGUACUGCUAGAUUGCAGGAGAGGUAAGUGGAAUUCCUAGUGUAGCGGUGAAAUGCGUAGAUAUUAGGAGGAACACCAGUGGCGAAGGCGGCUUACUGGACUGUAAAUGACGCUGAGGCUCGAAAGCGUGGGGAGCAAACAGGAUUAGAUACCCUGGUAGUCCACGCGGUAAA
rnacentral:rRNA from 1 species